AUCUAUGGCCAUGCUACCCUGAACAAGCCCUAUCCUGUCUGAUUUUGGAAGCUAAGCAGGGUCGGGCCUGGUUAGUACUGGAAUGGGAGACCACCUAGGAAGACCAGGUGCCGUAGGCG
rnacentral:rRNA from 1 species